GAUGAAGAACGCAGCGAAAUGCGAUAAGUAGUGUGAAUUGCAGAAUUCAGUGAAUCAUCGAAUCUUUGAACGCACAUUGCGCCCCUUGGUAUCCCGAGGGGCAUGCCUGUUCGAGCGUCAUUUCACCACUCAAGCCUGGCUUGGUGUUGGGCGACGUCCUCUUUGGGGACGCGCCUCGAAACGCUCGGCGGCGUGGCACCGGCUUUAAGCGUAGCAGAAUCUUUCGCUUUGGAAGUCGGGGCCCCGUCUGCCGGAAGACCUGCUCGCAAGGUUGACCUCGGAUCAGGCAGGGAUACCCGCUGAACUUAAGCAUAUCAAGAAGCGGAGGA
rnacentral:misc_RNA from 1 species